AGCAGCCGCGGUAAUUCCAGCUCCAAUAGCGUAUAUUAAAGUUGUUGCAGUUAAAAAGCUCGUAGUUGAAUUUCGGGAUCGAUACUUCGGUCGUGCCUUCGGUACGCACUGGCGUUUAUCGAUUUCUCCCUUCUGACGAUCCAUGAUGUCAUUAAUUUGGUGUUAUGGGGAAUCAGGACUGUUACUUUGAAAAAAUUAGAGUGUUUAAAGCAGGCAUUAGCUUGAAUACAUUAGCAUGGAAUAAUGAAAUAGGACGUUCGAACCUAUUUUGUUGGUUUUUAGGAUCAACGUAAUGAUUAAUAGGGAUAGUUGGGGGCAUUAGUAUUCAAUUGUCAGAGGUGAAAUUCUUGGAUUUAUUGAAGACUAACUACUGCGAAAGCAUUUGCCAAGGAUGUUUUCAUUAAUCAAGAACGAAAGUUAGGGGAUCGAAGACGAUCAGAUACCGUCGUAGUCUUAACCAUAAACUAUGCCGACUAGGGAUCGGAUGAUGUUAAUUUUUUAAUGACUCAUUCGGCGCCUUACG
rnacentral:rRNA from 1 species